ACCCCCAAGUAAAUUGUCACAAUAGACUUGUGCGCCGGGUAUAAAACGUACCAACCCCUGCACUUUACUAUACAACAGCUGUGUUUUUGUGUGUAUACCCCCUUGCGUUUGGUGCAACAUGCACUCAACACGCACACACACCCUCUGAUACAUUAUACACACAGAUUGAUCUAUCUGGGAGUAAAUGGAUUUCAGCAACGCCAAUUUCACCUGGUUUUCUGCUACCAACCAAGGCCUCCGCACAUGUACUCGCGUUUAUCCUCUUUGCUCGUUCCUCCCACUCUAUACAUUACCCCUGCAACACACGCGACUGCUAUAGGCUUUCGUGCUUGCUUUUCCAGACUCGUUAAGUAGUAAGCCGGUGUGCGUUCGAUGUUAUUACUAGCAUCUCAGUGCUGAUUUUGCAGCGGAUUUAUCUCAUAAUUCAGGAUAUAUUAUUAUUAUUUGGAUAUAUCCCUUUAAAAGGUCUCAAGGCUGUUUGACAGAUCAAUCCCGGUAGCAAAGCGGCGCGGGCUCAGCUUCAUGUCGGGGACGUUGUAGAGGCUGUGAAUGGUGUCAGGGCAGGAGAUCUACCAGUUACUCAAGCACAGAAAUUAUUACAUAACAGUUCAAAUGAUCUACAACUCAGAAUACACAGGAGUCAUUUAUCAGUGAACGGAUCGUAUCAUCCAAAUGGGAAGAUGUCUUCACAGUCCAGUUUUAUCGUCACAAAUGACUCUGGAUUCUCUGGUACAGGUAAGGCAUACAGAGGGUUUCCAGUUCGGUGUUGAAAGCUGGUGUUGGUGCUACACCUUCCAAAUCAAAAUACGAGUGAUGUUGUUUUAUAAAGGGCAAGUCUAACACCAGCUAUGACACCAGACUUGAUAUGGGACUGAUGUUGGUGUAAAGAGUAGGGCCUAUCUCUAAUACCAGAUGUGGCACCAGACUUGAAAUGAUGCUGGUGUUUGUGUUUAAGGGCCUUUCUAACACCAGGUAAAACACAAAACUUGAUAUGAGGCUGGUAUUGGUGUAUUGUAAGUGUAACUCUAGCAACAGCUACUACAUGUUCAUCCAACCUAAAUAUAGCUGGUGUUAGUAUAAAUGACAUCUCUUACACCAGCCAUGACACCAAGCUUGAAAUGAGGCUGGUGUUGGUGUCACGGGAAUUCUAAGACCUGUCAGAACAAUCAACUUGAUAUGAGGCUAGUGCUGGUGUAAGGGCAACUCUAUCACUAGCCACAACAACACCAAAGUAAAUUAUAGCUGGUGUUGGUGUAUAAAGGGCAACUCUAACACCAGCUACAACACCCAACCUGAAAUACAUUUAUUGCAGCAUUCUCGACCCAAGUACACCGUCACAAAAUUCUGAUUAUCUCAAUGGGAUGGUAGUGAAGAGGUGUAUCUUGAUGAAUUUGUAGUGAACUUUAAGAACAAGGAAUUGAUCAGAACUGAAACUCCCCUUUAUCGAUUUCCUCUCCAUCAUGCAUGUACUGUACUUCAAAGAGAUCUAUAUGUUUAUUGAUUCUUUGCUAUUUUAGUAUCCUUUUCCUCGAAAUUACAUUGCCAAAUUAUUACUUUUGUUAUUAUUUGCUUCUUACAUUGUUUCAUAUACAUAUACACUUUCCUGAGCACUAUUUAUUAGCAAGGGAGGGGUUAUCUUCACAUUCUAGAUGGCAUGCAAUUAGUUCGGAAACCAUCUCAGGACGAUGUCAUCCACCUGGAUGGUGUGACCUUGCAAGGGUUUGACCCAGGAAGUGUUUCAGUUGUACGCACCACCACCACAAAGGUCACCAAGACCACAAGGAGUCGUUCCCCGUCUCCAGUCCGGGUACGUCGCCUGUCGAGCGAAGGCUCUCCACGUCUCGCCCGUUCCGGCUCUGCUGGCUCGACGCCGGGCCGCAUUCGCAUGCGAGUCAUGCCGUCCGGUCACGACUCUGAGUCGGAAUCUAGUGAGAUCAUCAUGCCUACUUUCGCUACGGGCGUGACGCAUUCUUCGCCUUCUAAGAAAGGUCAGUGGUCAUGCAUUACCUCAGCCCAUGACCUUUGACCUGCUGAGAAGUUUGAAAUUGACCUCCUUUGCUAUCAUGGGUGUUUGAAAUUUUCCUUGACCUUCUUUGUAGUUUGCUUUUGUUUGUCUUGUAAGCUCUCUCUGCUGUUUAAUCAUAUAACAAAGAAAAAACAAACGAUGCAUGUCAUUUGGUGCUGUUUAAUCGAAGAAUGACAUGAACUGCUCUUUUCAGCUCCACUCACCUUUCACCUUUCACCCUUUCAAACCAAACGAGAUUUGUUUGCUCACCCUAGUUUUUGGACUGUAGACUGCUCUAUAUUUGCAUUGCUAAUGAAUUGACUGAUGAUAUCCUUGAUGUUCUUGGUUAUUUCACAUUCACUUGGCUGACACAGUCAAAGCUACAACACCACCAAAGUGCAUAUAUGUAUUUCUUUCAAGCAACCGAUUCACAUGUCUCCACAAACGGAAGCUUUUUAGUUCAUAGUUUCUCAAGAUUUAACUUGUUUUCCACCAUUUCAAUGGCACCUGUAGCUUCACUUUAUAAAACCAUAUAGUAUUUGACUCACGAUAUACAUGUAUAUAAUGCAUUUAGUGAAAGUAUUAAAGGUUUAGUGGGCCCUGCAAACUACCUUCUCAUGUAAUGUAUAAUAAGCCUAGCAAUCACAUCACACUCACCGCCCUUUCUCCCGGUAAAAAAAAUCGUAAUUUGAAAGAUGAUUCCAAUGAAAAAUAAGGCUAAGGACAAAUUUUUAGCACGUGUGAAACCAAACUAGAAUCACCAACGUUAAUCACAAUCACAAAUUCAAAUUCUACUCUGGAGGUGAAUUCCAGUUAAGUUUCACUCAAAUUAUGGUACAAAUUUUCCGUAUGCGAGGUCUGAUGAUUCUAAAGACGAAUUGCAAUCAUGAUUGCAAUGAUGAUUCAAGAUUUACGUGUAAAAAGGCCCUCAGUCACUCAAUAUUCAUUAAUGUUUAUUGUAUUUUUUGUGUAUGAUCCAAAAUCUAGCAUGAAUGUCACCCUAAAACCUCAGUUCCUUGAGAGGCAGAAUUAGCCAGAGUGUGCCAUAAGAAGUGAUAUUUUCCAUGAAGUGCAUUUGCUUGUGACUCUAAUCUGAGAACAUUCCACAUUUGAUCAGGCAUCUGUCUGUAUCCUAAAAUCAUAUAGAUAGCACAUUUGUGGCUGGCCCAAAUUGUUUACUCAUGUUUGAUGCUUCUGAGUUGUAUUCUAAAAGGGGAAUAUAUCAAGACAUUUGAUGUACUGCACUCUGAUUGCAUUUCUAAAUGUUCAAACUGCAUUCUAAGUAUUUGUGCUGCCUUCAAACAGCAUUUGAAACAUUCUGUUCGGGUUCGGGUUCAAGGGAGGUUAUGAGUGGCAACCAGCUUUAAUAGCAAUUCAGCGAGCUCUUGCGUGAUCGUUGGGUUGUAUCAAGGUUUCGGUUUUGGUCAACACGAUUCCCUUUUUAAUUUUGGCUAAAUUUUCAAGAAAUCUCCUUGCUGUCUGGUUUUGCCCAAUUUCAGAAGAGUUUGAUACUAGUUUCCACUGUUGAUUUGUUCUCUUGCUCAAGCCUGGUCCAACUUCUUUGGUCUGGCCAAUGUCACUGGGAUCACUAGUUCACUACACUUUGAUAGACACCACUUCCGCUUUUUACACAAGAAUUUCAAUGUUUUGUGAGCUUUGUAUUCCUUGGUCAUAGCACCCAUUGUGUCUGCAAGAGAUAUCGUCUCAACAAAUAACAAUUAUGGCGUAGCCAUACUUCCCUUCAGUGGCCUUACGGCAAGUCGAAAACAGCCAUUUGAACAUUUUCUGUACCAGCUACAUAUAGGUGGUUUGAAUAAAAAUGAAUAAAACGGCUGUUUUCGACUCGCCGUACGGCCGCCGUAGGGGAAAUGUGACUGCAGCAUUUAAUAGUGUUUGUUUAGUGAUUGAAAUUAUGCUGAGAUCAUUAGAAACUGUUGAAUGGAAAUUGGACUCGAGAACCCUUUCCAGUGAUAGCUCUAAAUUAUCAUCCUAUCCUGUAGGUAUUUGCUUUGGUAUGGCGGUCAGUUGGAAAGCCAUCAGGCAAUCGAGAAGUCGGUCAGUGGGUCAGUCCAUUGCAAGUCUUGCAGAUGAAUUAUUUCUUCAGUUGCAUUUCAGUUAAUUGCUAGAAUAAUGAAUGAUCAGGUGAUCCUAGAAGGGUUGUUGACAGAAGAAGAUUAGAAGGAAUUGCUUGUAUGUAAAAAUGAUGAAAGCAUUUUAAAGUGAAGAUUGGCAGGGAUGAAUUGGGCAAUUUGGCCUGAUGAGACAUUAUCAGGUUGACUGUACUGGCAGAGUGAACCUACUUGUAGCAUCUGGCUGCAAUGUUGGUCAUUUGAACCCAGGCCAAUGUGGUAUGGCGGAGGGGAGGCGGGUGUGGGGGGGGGGGGGGUAUGUGUCCUGGUUGCCACUUUCAGAAAUGCAAAAAUUAUGCAGAAGGUUUAAAGAGCAAAUCAACCAAAUCAACCAAACUUCAAAGUUUUGGCACAUUGAACUAGUAUUUUGUCAUUAGAAUUAGCAUUUGUUUCAGAGUCAGAGGUUUGAAAGGUUGUCCUGUUUCAGCACCUGCCUUUGGUGCCGUUUCUCCUAGAUAUGCCUCUUGGUCUGACAAUUUCAUUUGUGGCACAUCUAAAGCCCUUUCAAUGGCCUAAAGCUUCUUUGGUAUCUGUCAUCAUUUAUAAACCGCUUGUGAAUAUUUCAGGAAUUUUAUUAUGAUUUCGAAUGAAUCAUUCAAGUAUUUUAGAGGCAAAAGUGACUCAUUUUAGGCAAGGGGCUUAUUACAGUAGCUUUAUUAAAUGGCUUUCAUUCCUAUCAACAUGAAAGGAUAUUUUAUGCAUCAUGCCAUGCAUGUUAUUUAUCAUGAAAUUACUCCACGCUAUUCACCAAAUAUUAAAAUCCCUUUCUCAUGGCAAUGUAAAAGCAAUCCAGAUCACCCAGUGCAUCGUUUGCUGUGAUGAAUGGGGUUGAAAAAAGGUUUUUUUCCUUUGCAUUUUGGGUGCCUGUCUGCACAAUUCUGGCAAAAUGAUGCCAAAAAAA